UACGUAGGUGGCAAGCGUUAUCCGGAAUUACUGGGUGUAAAGGGAGCGCAGGCGGGUCAGCAAGUCAGCGGUGAAAUUUAUGGGCUCAACCCAUAACCUGCCGUUGAAACUGUUGAUCUUGAGUGGAGUAGAGGUAGGCGGAAUUCCGAGUGUAGCGGUGAAAUGCGUAGAUAUUCGGAGGAACACCAGUGGCGAAGGCGGCCUACUGGGCUCUAACUGACGCUGAGGCUCGAAAGUGUGGGGAG
rnacentral:rRNA from 1 species